UGGAUCCAGACUUUGAUCAUGGCUCAGGAUGAACGCUAGCUACAGGCUUAACACAUGCAAGUCGAGGGGAAACGACAUCGAAAGCUUGCUUUUGAUGGGCGUCGACCGGCGCACGGGUGAGUAACGCGUAUCCAACCUGCCCACCACUUGGGGAUAACCUUGCGAAAGUAAGACUAAUACCCAAUGAUAUCUCUAGAAGACAUCUGAAGGAGAUUAAAGAUUUAUCGGUGAUGGAUGGGGAUGCGUCUGAUUAGCUUGUUGGCGGGGUAACGGCCCACCAAGGCUACGAUCAGUAGGGGUUCUGAGAGGAAGGUCCCCCACAUUGGAACUGAGACACGGUCCAAACUCCUACGGGAGGCAGCAGUGAGGAAUAUUGGUCAAUGGGCGAGAGCCUGAACCAGCCAAGUAGCGCGCAGGAUGACGGCCCUAUGGGUUGUAAACUGCUUUUAUAAGGGAAUAAAGUGAGCCUCGUGAGGCUUUUUGCAUGUACCUUAUGAAUAAGGACCGGCUAAUUCCGUGCCAGCAGCCGCGGUAAUACGGAAGGUCCGGGCGUUAUCCGGAUUUAUUGGGUUUAAAGGGAGCGUAGGCCGGAGAUUAAGCGUGUUGUGAAAUGUAGAUGCUCAACAUCUGCACUGCAGCGCGAACUGGUUUCCUUGAGUACGCACAAAGUGGGCGGAAUUCGUGGUGUAGCGGUGAAAUGCUUAGAUAUCACGAAGAACUCCGAUUGCGAAGGCAGCUCACUGGAGCGCAACUGACGCUGAAGCUCGAAAGUGCGGGUAUCGAACAGGAUUAGAUACCCUGGUAGUCCGCACGGUAAACGAUGGAUGCCCGCUGUUGGUCUGAAUAGGUCAGCGGCCAAGCGAAAGCAUUAAGCAUCCCACCUGGGGAGUACGCCGGCAACGGUGCAACUCAAAUGAAUUGACGGA
rnacentral:rRNA from 1 species